ensembl:lncRNA
AGACCGACAGCAUUAUUCCCCUCCUGAUACCAAUAAACCGUUCGAAAUAAACGCUGCUAGGCUCUGCGUCCUUCUCGAACGCAUCCAAACCCACUGCGCUGCGCGCCACAUCCUGUUACAGACAUGAUUUACAUUACUCAUUUGAGCAAUCUUGGCACCGCGUGGGAGCUCAGGGUGUGUGAGAUGCACGGAUUUAUUGGAGGGACGAACCGGAACAAAGAAAAAGCGAAACUAAAAGCAGAGGCGCACGAGCAGCGGACAAGGACGCGCGCGGUUAGAGGUAACGUCUUCUCUCGCCGCGUUCCCACGUGCGCGCGGAGUCGCGCAAAUCUCGGGGGGGGUCUCGAGCGUCGGCUUUCUCGCGCUGCGUGGCAAGCGCAGGCUCGCGGCGAUGUGCCGCGGAUGCCCUCGUGCGACACUUCGAGUGCGGAGCGUAAUUGCAGAGAGGGACAGACGUCUGAGACGGACACGGUGUGCAUAGGGAUGGUCCUUUGUUAUUCAGCACAAGGAAAUUAUGAACACUAUUUUGAAAUACUGGAGGAUUUAUUGCCAGCAGAUUAUAUGUUUAAGAAGCCAGAAAGCAGAAACUGUGUUGACAAGAAAUGCAACUGUUCUGAAGUGACUGAAAUACUUUGCUGUUUCCUCCAGAGGGAGCAAACUAGAACAUGCAAAAAAAAUUGCAUGCUCCCUAAUUGUGCGACAUGUUGUAACUACACUCAUAAUCUCCAGGAAAACAUAAAGGGACUGCUUAAUGGGAUGAUUUCCUGUCAUGAAUGCAAAGAGCUCAAUUGUACUCUCCUUAAAGAAACACAGAUGGUCAAUUUCACAGAAUUCAGAAGGAAAUAUAAAGAAUGCCAAGACGAGCGGCAAAACUGUACAGUUACACCCACACCAAGGAAAGCUCUGGAAUUCUCCACGGGCACUAUGGGCACUACAAACACUACGAGCAGUACGAACAUUAUGAGCACUACGAGCGCUACGGGGAAUACGAACACUAUGGGGACUACGAGCACUAUGAGCACUAGAAGCACUACGCGGACUACGAACACUACGGGGAUUACAAACACUACGAGCCCUACGAGCACUACGAGGAGUAUGAACACUACGAACACUACGAGCCCUACGAACACUACGAGCCCUACGAACACUACGAGCCCUACGAACACUACGAGCCCUACGAACACUACGAGCCCUACGAACACUACGAGCACUACGCGGACUGCGAACGCUACGGGGACUACGAAGACUACGAGCGCUACGGGGACUACGAGCACUACAAGCAAUAUGCCGCGAGUGAGCACGAUAUUGUAUCCAAGCAGUCCAGCCUCCAGCAAACCAGAACCUUCCUCCACAAGUCUUACAACAGAAUUGCAAACAACAGAUUCAACAGUAACAACGACAAAAUCCCCAACGACAUCCAAAUCACAGUCAGGUAACGGAACCCUGUGCAGUCCGCAGCUCCCAGGAACUGAAAUGUCUAACAUUUUGAAAGCUUCACAAGCAGGUGUGAUUUCAUCACUGACUGCAUUCAUAAUCCUCGUACUGCUUGUAUGCUACCUCUACCUUGAAAACAGACGACUGAAAAGACUGAUGGACUCCGCUGCUGGCAGUGAAGUCGUGUGUAUUUCAGUUCUACGAGAAGGUGACCGUAAUAUCCAGAAUUCUCCAGAGACUGAGGAGUGAACAAAUAAGCUGAUAGUGAAAGUAAAGGGAAGACUGACUGAAACAAGCCUCUGGAAACACUGAUGAAGCUGAUGCUGUGAUAUGUACAGUAGUGGGGAAAAGAACCAUGUAUUCCUGCAUGUUUAAUAAAUGCUGCUGAAAUUGCUAAUAUUGUUACA